UUAAAGGGGGACCAAUUAACACCAGGGAUUGUUACAGCAGUGACAUUAUCAUGUGCGGCAAUGUAUCAAAACUCUGGACUAAAUAAGGAUGGUCCAUCGUCUGCUGAACUUUCUAGGAAGGUACUUGAACAUUUGAAGUAUGCACCAAGGUGUCAAGAACAAGUAGGAAUGGAACACAAGGCGUACAUCUUUUUGGCAACAUUUCAUCUUGGGUAUGAUAUGUCAGGAAAGAUAAUCGAGAAGCAUGUGAAUCAAUCAAGGCUGGAAACAGCAAAGUCUAGCCUAAUGGCGUUAAAUAAGUCGGUAUGUAGUGGGUAUUCGCUCAGUCGAUAUCGUGAAGUUCAGUUAAAUUUGGUAAAGUCGACCCUUUAUUAUCGGUAUGCCCAAGUUAAUCCAGAAAAAAACGAAGUAUUCCUAGAAGAAGCGUUUCAAUUCUCUAAGAAAGCUCAACAUCUUGCCAGAGCUUCUAACUUUGAUGAAAUGGUUACAUGGGCCAAUGUUAGUGUAGCUUUGUACACUGAAAAAUUAGUCCUUGCAAGCUUGGCGAAAAUGGAUUGGGUAAAGAAGAUAUUUAUAUCGGUAAGUAAAAAGUGAGUGUUUGCCUGAUUGCAUAUGUUUUCAACGAGCGGAAAAGAGUAUACAUACCUUCUGGUACAACCAAUCUUGACAUAAAAUUGUUGACAUUUAAUUCGUUUUUAUUGAUAAAAAAGUUAAACUAAAUUCAUUUUUUUAGAAAUUGGAAGAUUAUAUUUCCUAAAACUGUGUCCGCCAGUAAAAUAUCUGCUGCUUGAUUCCUUUGCACACCACAAUUUAAUCCAGAUAAUUUUAUGCUCAUUGCAUGUUUGCAUGGCGAUAAAAUAUUUAUUUUGAUUUGUAGAAACACCGCGUAUAUUUUUAAUAUUGCAAGCCUUUCCAUUUGUAAGCUCGGAUCUUGGUCAGUGCUAAUAGCAGCCUAGAACCUAGGCCUUUACUCGACUCCACUUGGCAGGUUUGGUUAAUUUUGGUCUAGCAUUUGGCAAGAAUGACAUCACAGACAGUCCAGUCUUCGGAUGUAUAAAAGCAAAUUACAAAGAUAAUGUGAAAGAAUUCCCCAUUCCAAAAUUCCGCCAGAUACCCUGGAUAUUUGAAAUGACGUGAAGAUCCUUGUUACGGAUCGAAAGCUUUUCAAUAAUAAAUAUACGUGGAGUUUCCACGAACCAAAACAAAUGUUCUAAAUAAUUAAGCCAAAAUUUUCCUUGUUUAAGCAUUUAUAUUAUAGUUUGAAAUGAUAACAAACGGAAUGGGUUAGAAUAAAUACCAUAACUAGAAAUAUCACAAUACUGAGUUGUAAUCAUAGUAGUUUAUAUUAUAGGUGGGUUUCAAACAAUCCCACGAGACUUUAACACAAGGAUAAUGGAGGUUCAAGAUUCAAAUGAGCACUGAACUCUCUGAAACUCUCAAGGUGAUGCAGAUGUGUUUUGGAUGUCUGAACUGGGAACUGCAUGUGUCUAUCAAGAUUGCUUCACCAGAAGCAACCACAUAAAUAGCACAUGUGGUAACAAUAAUAACAUGGUCCUUCCAAAAGUAAAAACAGAACCUGUGUGGAAAUGUUCUUUGGCGUUCGCUGGACCAAGAAUUAACAAUCUUCUGAAUAUGAAAACUCAACAUUAACGUCUAAAACUACUUGAAAAUAGUGUUGACAUUUGCGAUUCUUAAUUAUGAGAAUAAUUAGAUGAAUCACUAUUAGGGAUGGACCAUUUGAAAAGGAACGGGGCGGGGUAGGAACCGAAAAAUCCAUACAAGCAAAAUAUUUUAAAACAUACUACCCCCGCGCCUCCCUUCACUUCUCUAAUGGUGCGUCCCUUACAUUAAUGGACUUGUUUUAAUGACUUUUGUGAAGCAAUAUCAGAUUCUUGGUUGAUAACUAUAAAAAUGUACUAUUGAACAAGCUAACCUCAUAUGUAAUAUCAAUAGUGUGAAUUAAUUAAUACACACUUCCGAAAAGUACUCGGCCUUCGCUAUGCUUCGUUUUCGUGAGUUCACAAGUCAUCAGGUAUAUUUGUCUCCCUCUAGUUUGAUCAAUAACCACUACCCUUAGAUACCAGUUUAUAAUACCAGUCCAGCCUUGUUCCGAGCCUUUCCGCCCCUCCCCAAAAGUCUGAGACUCCCUCAAUCUGCAAACCUUGUCAAAAUACCACCCUAAAAUAGUGAGGCGGAAGCGAAUAGGCAAGGAACCAGGCUGUUACCAUUAUCAUAUCUUCCAUCACACUCUUGCAGUCUAUUUUAUCCCUUAAUGUUCAUCAUUGUCCUUGUUGUCACUAGGCAUUCAUUGUAAGCACGCGUGCAUACCACAGCGGCCUGCGUAUUGUGGGUACAAGCUACUGUACAUAACUUCAUUAAUGCAUUAUGUAACUCCCAAAUUUUAGGAAACAUAAUAAAAGUCGACCUCGUACCCAGGGUUUUUCCUAUUGGGGAGAAAAGACCCUGGUAUAGACGUGAUCUGCUAAAAGCUAGAAGAUUUGUAAAAAACUAUCUUGGAUUCCUUUACAAUCAUACAAAAUGCAAAUUAUAAAUUAAACUAUAAAAAUCAUCCAAAUAUAAAAUAUUUAUUAACCUCAUCUUGGAUUGCUAAUUAAAAAUCUGCUAGAUUUUAGCAGAUCAUGUGACCAAUGUCUACCAGGGUCUUUUCUCCCCCAAGAGGAAAGACCCUGGGUACGAGAUUGAAUAAAAGAUUUGGAACCACUCCAUAAAAGGAUGGCGGCAAUUUGGAUGAUUAAUAUUUGCCUGUCUUUUGUUUGUCUGAGCUGAAUCCCCUUGUUAUAUAGAUAUAGUAC